rnacentral:lncRNA from 1 species
AUGUGUUAUUUGUCAUUUUGUUGUUAUUAUGAAAGAGUAUGAACAUUAAAAUUCAAAAAAAAAAAAACUAAAAAUAAGACAAGUAGACUCCCUAUCUUCGUACCACAAGUCGGAAUGUUACAGACUUACAGCUUGGUUCAAAUAGGUUGUUCUUGAAGGUUAAAUCCAUAACUAUUGGACUAUGAAAAAAUCAUAUCUUACUCUUGUUUCGCUAACAAACUCUUUAAAGCUAAAGGAUAUGUCUUCCUACUCUUCAAGGUAAAUCUGGAAAGCAGAAACUCUGCAAAGUUUUGAUUUGAUAAUUGAUCACCC